rnacentral:rRNA from 1 species
UACGUAGGGUGCAAGCGUUAAUCGGAAUUACUGGGCGUAAAGCGUGCGCAGGCGGUUUGCUAAGACAGGUGUGAAAUCCCCGGGCUUAACCUGGGAACUGCAUUUGUGACUGCACGGCUAGAGUGUGUCAGAGGGGGGUAGAAUUCCACGUGUAGCAGUGAAAUGCGUAGAUAUGUGGAGGAAUACCGAUGGCGAAGGCAGCCCCCUGGGAUAACACUGACGCUCAUGCACGAAAGCGUGGGGAGCAAACAGG